AUGGAAUUCAUGGAGCAGGAACACAGUGUGGUCCCAGGUAAUUAUAACUAUGGCAAACUUCAGUCUGCUAGGCUUAACAACGAGUCACUGCGUGAGCGUCUGAAAGAAAAGGACCGCAAUAUCGAAAUACUGAAAAAGAUCAAUACAUCUCUGGCGCAGCAAAUGGAAGAGAAGAGCAACACUCUUGACUCCAUUAUGAAGACAAACAAAGACAUGAUGGAGAAGGUGGCUGAAAAAGAUGUUGCCAUUGAAUCCAUCAAAAAUGUCAAUCAAACACUACUGAAGCAGCUUGGUGAGAAACAAGUGAUAAUAAAAAAACUCAGCAAAGGCUGGGAUAACUCACUGGAUACUGGAUUUUCAGCAACCAUCCAACUUCAGUGCCUGAUUGAUGAGGGCAUGUUCCCUGGAUCAACGCAGGCAGACAUUGAGCUCAAUGCGACUCUCCAGAGUGCUCAGCACAUAUGUGAGUACCUUGAGCAGAACACCAUCCUUGCUGUUGAGUACCUGCAGUCCAUUGGGACAUAUCCAUAUGACCCAAAGCCAGGCUUUACUGAUGAGGAAGACAACUGUUCAGUGGACCCCGAACCCGUGCCACCAGAGAAUCCACCCUACAUGAGAAGCUGGCUGGAUGAUGAGGAGAUCUUUGACAGUGAAGGUAAUUGCUCUGCAGACUUAGACACUUUGGCCGAGGAGCACUUCUGA
rnacentral:rRNA from 1 species